AAAAGGCCUCCUUUCGGUAUUUUGUAUCCUUUAUCAUCCUUCCCCCUGAGCUUCGACAGCAGGUAGUGGUGGUAAAAAUUGCCAGCAAUGCCAAUCAGAAAUAUAACUACCCCUACAUAUUUCAGAUCAAAUGCUGGCUCUGCCAUGUCCUGAGUGAGGUAUUGUGCGUAGAUCAUGGUUACGGUGCUGAUGAAAUAGCUGAGGGAUAUUAAGAUGGCGGAGUCUAGGAUCAUCUUCCCG
rnacentral:misc_RNA from 1 species